CCUACGGGUGGCAGCAGUGGGGAAUAUUGGGCAAUGGGCGCAAGCCUGACCCAGCAACGCCGCGUGAAGGAAGAAGGCUUUCGGGUUGUAAACUUCUUUUCUCAGGGACGAAGCAAGCGACGGUACCUGAGGAAUCAGCCACGGCUAACUACGGGCCAGCAGCCGCGGUAAUACGUAGGGGGCAAGCGUUAUCCGGAUUUACUGGGUGUAAAGGGCGUGUAGGCGGGACUGCAAGUCAGAUGUGAAAGCCACGGGCUCAACCUGUGGCCUGUAUUUGAAACUGUAGUGCUUGAGUGCUGGAGAGGCAGACGGAAUUCCUGGUGUAGCGGUGAAAUGCGUAGAUAUUAGGAGGAACACCAGUGGCGAAGGCGGUCUGCUGGACAGCAACUGACGCUGAGGCGCGAAAGCGUGGGGAGCAAACAGGAUUAGAUACCCUUGAAGUC
rnacentral:rRNA from 1 species